AGAGUUUGAUCAUGGCUCAGGAUGAACGCUGGCGGUCUGCUUAACACAUGCAAGUCGAACGGAGUAGAAAUACUUAGUGGCGGACGGGUGAGUAACGCGUGAGAAUCUGCCUUCAGGACGGAGACAACAGUUGGAAACGACUGCUAAGCCCCGAUGAACCGAAAGGGAAAAUAUUUAUAGCCUGAAGAUGAGCUCGCGUCCGAUUAGCUAGUUGGCGGAGUAAAAGCCCACCAAGGCGACGAUCGGUAGCUGGUCUGAGAGGACGAUCAGCCACACUGGGACUGAGACACGGCCCAGACUCCUACGGGAGGCAGCAGUGGGGAAUUUUCCGCAAUGGGCGAAAGCCUGACGGAGCAAGACCGCGUGGGGGAAGAAGGCUCUUGGGUUGUAAACCUCUUUUCUCAGAGAAGAAUAAUGACGGUAUCUGAGGAAUAAGCAUCGGCUAACUCCGUGCCAGCAGCCGCGGUAAUACGGAGGAUGCAAGCGUUAUCCGGAAUGAUUGGGCGUAAAGGGUCUGUAGGUGGUUGUUCAAGUCUGCUGUUAAAGCGUCUGGCUUAACCAGAUAAAGGCGGUGGAAACUGAACGACUAGAGUGCGGUAGGGGUAGAGGGAAUUCCCAGUGUAGCGGUGAAAUGCGUAGAUCUUGGGAAGAACACCUGUGGCGAAAGCGCUCUACUGGACCGCGACUGACACUGAUGGACGAAAGCUAGGGGAGCGAAUGGGAUUAGAUACCCCAGUAGUCC
rnacentral:rRNA from 1 species